CUCUGUGAUCAGCUGCUAGGCGGGAAGCUCCAGGCAAAAACAGAAAGCAGAAAAGUUGUGUGAAAAUUGUUUUUCUUUCGCUAUCAAUGUGAAUAUUUUUGGAUAUCCCGCGCGGAACGCACUGAUUUUGCCCCUGCAGCCGGGCGGGAUGUCUGCAAGGCCGGAUUUCAUACACAGCGGAGUACGGAUUUAUAGCCGGAAAACUUGGAGCUCAUGGUCCGGACGCAAACGCAUUCGUCAAUCGUUUAAACUUCUCUGAUAAUUGCUCAGUUUUACACACAGCCUCGAAGGCCAUUGAAAUCGGGGUUUGGCUUAGUGUGGCAAUAGCACGUGCCAAAUGCGAGUCUGUUUUCAUCGGUCCAAAUUUUCGAAGACUCCUGACCUGGCUUCUUAUGACAAAUUGAUUACUCCGUGGCCAAACCGACAGCUGUCAAGUACCGGAUCGACAGAAAUGAUCUCAGCCUUUGCGACUUUAUUCUUUAAAUUUAAUCAAUGCAGAUCGCAACGUCACACAUCAAGCUCUUUGGGUUCCAUGGCAGUUUACAACCAGCCGAACUGUGACUGGCCACAAAAAGUUUUUGUAUUUUAUCG